rnacentral:misc_RNA from 1 species
GAAAUGCGAUACGCAAUGCGAAUUGCAGAAUUCCGCGAGUCAUCAGAUCUUUGAACGCAAGUGGCGCUGGUCUAACCGCCAGCAUGCUUGUUUCAGUGUGCUAGGAAUCACACAGUUCAAUGCGAUUGACGGGAGAACACCCCACGAUUCAUUCGUGUGUGCUUCCUCUCUUCUCUCGUUAAACACGGUGGCGCCGAGCCUCUAGCGCGGCCGAACGAAGUAGUCACUUCAUCCGAAAGUGAUCUCGUUUCGGGUACCGGCGGGCUCACUAAGGUGUUUUUCCACGACAAAUAAAUAAAUUAACUAUUCGUUCAUUUAUCACCAUUUCUCCACAACACCUGAAAUCACGCAAGAUCACCCGCUGAACUUAA